rnacentral:rRNA from 1 species
CGUGUAGGCGGCCAGGUAGGUCGGUUGUGAAAACUGGAGGCUCAACCUCCAGACGUCGACCGAAACCAUCUGGCUAGAGUCCGGAAGAGGAGAGUGGAAUUCCUGGUGUAGCGGUGAAAUGCGCAGAUAUCAGGAAGAACACCGAUGGCGAAGGCAGCUCUCUGGGACGGUACUGACGCUGAGACGCGAAAGCGUGGGGAGCGAACA